GACGAACGCUGGCGGCGUGCUUAACACAUGCAAGUCGAACGGAAAGGCCCUGCUUUUGUGGGGUGCUCGAGUGGCGAACGGGUGAGUAACACGUGAUUAACCUGCCCUUGACUUGGGGAUAACUUCAGGAAACUGGGGCUAAUACCGGAUAGGAGCUCCUGCUGCAUGGUGGGGGUUGGAAAGUUUCGGCGGUUGGGGAUGGACUCGCGGCUUAUCAGCUUGUUGGUGGGGUAGUGGCUUACCAAGGCUUUGACGGGUAGCCGGCCUGAGAGGGUGACCGGCCACAUUGGGACUGAGAUACGGCCGAGACUCCUACGGGAGGCAGCAGUGGGGAAUAUUGCACAAUGGGCGGAAGCCUGAUGCAGCAACGCCGCGUGCGGGAUGACGGCCUUCGGGUUGUAAACCGCUUUCGCCUGUGACGAAGCGUGAGUGACGGUAAUGGGUAAAGAAGCACCGGCUAACUACGUG
rnacentral:rRNA from 1 species